rnacentral:rRNA from 1 species
UACGUAGGUGGCAAGCGUUGUCCGGAAUUAUUGGGCGUAAAGCGCGCGCAGGCGGUUCUUUUAAGUCUGAUGUGAAAGCCCACGGCUCAACCGUGGAGGGUCAUUGGAAACUGGAGAACUUGAGUACAGAAGAGGAAAGCGGAAUUCCACGUGUAGCGGUGAAAUGCGUAGAGAUGUGGAGGAACACCAGUGGCGAAGGCGGCUUUCUGGUCUGUAACUGACGCUGAGGCGCGAAAAGCGUGGGGAGCAAACAGG